UACGGAGGAUGCAAGCGUUAUCUGGAAUGAUUGGGCGUAAAGCGUCCGCAGGUGGCGAUGUAAGUCUGCUGUUAAAGAGUGAGGCUCAACCUCAUAAGAGCAGUGGAAACUACAUAGCUAGAGUGCGGUAGGGGCAGAGGGAAUUCCUGGUGUAGCGGUGAAAUGCGUAGAGAUCAGGAAGAACACCGGUGGCGAAAGCGCUCUGCUAGGCCGCAACUGACACUGAGGGACGAAAGCUAGGGGAGCGAAUGGG
rnacentral:rRNA from 1 species